rnacentral:lncRNA from 1 species
UCUUCAGAAUUGCUACCCUCUUUUGAACUAUAGUGUUGCUGUUGGUAAUAACAUAAGCAGAGCUGAAUGGGGAGUUCCUAAGCAACCAUCUGAACUCGGGUAUGGAGGUGGGAUUGCACAUGGCAUGUUGGCAGGAGCUUGUAGGAAAGUUGGUCAUUCAGAUUAGAAGAGGGUCAACCACUAAUGCCUCAGUCCGUUACUUUUACAGGCAAUUGAAACUUGUUGUCAUCAAACAAGGUGAAGAGACUGGGCCUUUGAGAAUAAUUGCAUCUCUAUAGAGAAAUCAUGCUUUUACAGAAAAAUUUCUGUAGGAUCUCACCUAUCAGGUCCCUCGUUGGCUGCUCGUCAGAUUUCUCUCUUCAAUUCCAAGCGCAUCUUAUGUAAACAAUAGUGUCUAUGAUAGUGGAUGUGAUUGUGUGCUACCUGGAUCUCCUAGCUGAAAUCCUUCGAAGAAUUUCCUUCAGUCAAUGGGAGCCACCUCCCCUGAGGUUAUGGCUCCAGGUGAAGAUUAAACAGCUGUAGAAGUGUCAUCCAAGAUUGGCCAAUGCUGUUCCUGAGAGUCCUUCCUGGAGAGCCAUCUGCACACAGAUCUCAGUCUCAGAGUCUAUUUCCCAAUGAAUCUAAUCUGAGAGAUCUCUUCAUUUGCUGUUUUUUCCCUGUAUGAAAUAGUUACUUUGUUUUACUUUAUUUUAUUAAGUUCAGUGGUACAUGUGCAGGUGUGUUAUAUAGGUAAAUUGUGUGUC